GAUUUAUAAAGAAGAGGCGAGAGAUUAGGCUCACUGACCCUCUGGCAACCAUCCACGAUUUCGGGAAAGGUGCCAAGUCCUACCCACUGCGGGAACUAUAAACA
rnacentral:ncRNA from 2 species